rnacentral:rRNA from 1 species
AUUGAACGCUGGCGGCAUGCUUUACACAUGCAAGUCGAACGGCAGCACAGGGAGCUUGCUCCUGGGUGGCGAGUGGCGAACGGGUGAGUAAUGUAUCGGAACGUGCCUGGUAGUGGGGGAUAACUACUCGAAAGAGUGGCUAAUACCGCAUGAGAUCUUUGGAUGAAAGCGGGGGACCUUCGGGCCUCGUGCUACUGGAGCGGCCGAUAUCAGAUUAGGUUGUUGGUGGGGUAAAGGCCUACCAAGCCUGCGAUCUGUAGCUGGUCUGAGAGGACGACCAGCCACACUGGGACUGAGACACGGCCCAGACUCCUACGGGAGGCAGCAGUGGGGAAUUUUGGACAAUGGGCGCAAGCCUGAUCCAGCAAUGCCGCGUGCAGGACGAAGGCCUUCGGGUUGUAAACUGCUUUUGUACAGAACGAAAAGUCUCUGGCUAAUAUCUAGAGAUCAUGACGCUACUGUAAGAAUAAGCACCGGCUAACUACGUG